rnacentral:piRNA from 1 species
UGAGAUCAGUUCAGCAUUCACAGC